AACGAACGCUGGCGGCAUGCCUAACACAUGCAAGUCGAACGAGACCUUCGGGUCUAGUGGCGCACGGGUGCGUAACGCGUGGGAACCUGCCCUUCGGUUCGGAAUAACUCCCCGAAAGGGGUGCUAAUACCGGAUAAUGACUUCGGACCAAAGAUUUAUCGCCUUUGGAUGGGCCCGCGUUGGAUUAGCUAGUUGGUAGGGUAAAAGCCUACCAAGGCGACGAUCCAUAGCUGGUCUGAGAGGAUGAUCAGCCACACUGGGACUGAGACACGGCCCAGACUCCUACGGGAGGCAGCAGUGGGGAAUAUUGGACAAUGGGCGAAAGCCUGAUCCAGCAAUGCCGCGUGAGUGAUGAAGGCCUUAGGGUUGUAAAGCGCUUUUAGCCGGGAUGAUAAUGACAGUACCGGGAGAAGAAGCUCCGGCUAACUCCGUG
rnacentral:rRNA from 1 species